rnacentral:lncRNA from 1 species
GCCGGUCUUACACUACCCAACCCGCUCUGAGCUGGGCGACCUUCCGCAUAUGAGUCGGAUGCUCUACCAAGAAGGCUAAAGACCAUGGCGUCUAGCAUCUGUCGCUAGAGCACCUUUAGAGGUCAGAGGAGUGAGGUUUACCUGCACAGCACGUACUAGCUUGCCUCCGUUACAUGUGUAUUACAGUGUGACCAAAGUGAAAACAGGAAAAGCGUCAACAAGAUGAAUCACAGUCACACGGUUGUUAGUGGAGUGAUUGAUAGCAGACGGUGAUAAAAUCAUCAGCAGUGGAAAAGCACUGGUGAGUGAAAUAACAGGUGAAUUUUAUCUUGUAUAAAUCAGUGUUGCUUAAACUAAAAUACAUUUUGCCAACU